GUCGAGAAGCUUCGGCAAUGGGCGAAAGCCUGACCGAGCGACGCCGCGUGAGCGAUGAAGGCCUUAUUGGUUGUAAAGCUCUGUCAGAUUGGGAAGAAAUGCCGGGGGCGAAUACCCUCCGGCUCUGACGGUACCAUCAGAGGAAGCACCGGCUAACUCCGUGCCAGCAGCCGCGGUAAUACGGAGGGUGCUAGCGUUGUUCGGAUUCACUGGGUAUAAAGGGUGCGUAGGCGGCCUGGUAAGUCAGAGGUGAAAUCUGUCGGCUCAACCGGCAAAUUGCCUCUGAAACUGUCGGGCUUGAGUCCGGGAGAGGAAGGUGGAAUUCCUGGUGUAGCGGUGAAAUGCGUAAAUAUCAGGAGGAACACCGGUGGCGAAGGCGGCCUUCUGGCCCGGUACUGACGCUGAGGCACGAAAGCCAGGGGAGCGAACGGGAUUAGAUACCCGAGUAGUCC
rnacentral:rRNA from 1 species